rnacentral:sRNA from 1 species
UUGUGACUGAUGAGCGGCCCGAGCUGGCCGUA